rnacentral:rRNA from 1 species
UACAGAGGGUGCGAGCGUUGUCCGGAAUCACUGGGCGUAAAGGGCGCGUAGGCGGCUCGGUAAGUAGGGGGUGAAAUCUCACGGCUCAACUGUGAGGCUGCCUUCUAGACUGUCGGGCUUGAGCACAGUAGAGGCUGGUGGAAUUCCCGGUGUAGCGGUGGAAUGCGUAGAGAUCGGGAAGAACAUCUGUGGCGAAAGCGGCUCUCUGGACCACAACUGACGCUGAGGCGCGAAAGCUAGGGGAGCAAACAGG